UUAGGACGGGUACUAAUCGGACUUUAUCGGUAUAGGAUCGUACCGAUCCACAUGAAAAAUGUCCUAACGGGGAUUCGAGUGUCGUCAGUUUGACGGGACGAUAACGAUAACGCAGAGCGACACUCCAUUAGGGAGCCGAUUUCGCGUUCCGCUUGGCGUCGCGACGCCUGAUGUUCAAACGUCUCCUAAUGUGUCUGCAAUCGGAUCGUUACUGGGAUGACUGAUUCAUCUCGUUGGAUGGCAUAUGCAGCGUUAUCAUAUCAUAAUAACAUGGACCAAAUCAGGUGGCCGUAUUUACACGCUCACGAUAAUUUCAUGAUUAUCAUGUAAUAUGAGGGAGCAUCACGAACGCCUGUGACCUAAUAGAAUCAGGAGCAACAAUACAAUAUUCCAGGAUGGCGGACAGGCUGAAAUGAAAAAAAAAAUAUAUAUAUAUACAUAUACAGUGUCGAUGCCUUGGAGACCCUCUCUCGGCCUGGAAAAUCUCUUUGGACCACCACCAGUGCAGGAAGUGCCACCACCGGGAGUUAACGGUACCAGCGCCAACUACCUCUGAGCAGGAGUGGGGGCGCCUGUCAAAAGGCAGGCAGGCAGGCAAGGCAGUGAUUUAGGCAGACAAGUAGGCAGGGUGGAAGUCAGGGUAGCCAACCCAGCUACACCGAGGGGUGGCGUGAACGACGAGCGACAGGUAGCCGACGGCACUCAUCGACAAGCCCCCCUACCGACCGCCUUGAACGACCCUGGUGACACUUGGUGUAAGGGGUAGGAUUUUACGUAGUUACCACAAUUCAUGACUGGCGACCAGUGCGAUGCAGUCGAAACGGUCUGGCACUCUUCAUCCCCUUUGGAUACGUGAUGCGAGAAGAAUCGAAGAUGAAAAAAAGAAGAGACGAGUCGGAGACGAUGUCAGAAUUAUGCUGGAAAAUUAAUUAGUGUCAAAACCGGAAGUCGUACUGGUAUCCCACAAAGAGCGUCGUGUUGGGGUUAUUACGUCGCUCUACAUCAAGAAAGGGUUUCGACGCCAUCUUGGAAUCCUACACAACAGUCCUACCACCUACUGGAAGUACGAUUUUCUACGUGCGUACCGCGCAUACCUAUACCCCAUACAUAAAUAAGGCGGUAGUACUGUGGGAUGUCGGCUAGUAGCAGUAAAUCCCGCGGGUGGCGCCCUCGUGGUCGAGGCAUAAAAAUGUCGCAGGACGAUAUCUACACCGAUAGGAUCACCGCCGAUUGUUGCCGGAUUGCCUUUCUCUAUUUGCCUCCCGCCACUUCCCCGUUAAACCUAUGCGCACACCAAACCCAACCUAACCUGACGUCUCACGUGGUCUCUUCGUUGACGGGUCUGAAACGUCAAGGACUGUAUGGUGGACUCGAUAUCAUCUAGCAGAAACAUCCCUACGCUACAAAGUGACUACCCUGGACUUGGUCCUACAUAGGGGAUGAUGUCCCACAGCUCUGGGUGACACAUCGUCCGUGUGAUGCGCAUCGAAUAUAAAAAUACACUAUCACUUACGGGAAGACAUCAGGGACAAAGAACUACCCUUAUUUCGACAUGUGUGCACCUAUGUACACACGGAUUGAACACCCUCCCGUAAGGGAUACGUGGUCCAGCGAGCACGUGACGUAGAGACAAUUCACUGAAGUGACGUACGAACUUUGGUAAAGUCACACUUACACGUGACUCUCACUCGUUUUACCUCGGCUUUGUUCGUGAAUCUUCGUGGAUACUCGACUUUAUUUGUACCCAUAGCUUUCACAUGUGGCGAUUGUGUGUACAAUGACAAGUGAAUUAAUAGAAUCGAUUCGCACCGGUUUUUCGUAUAAUCUGAUUAAACAGAACGUGUCGUUCGAUCGUGAAAAACAUAAUGAAACUUUAUCAGUAAAUUUACAAUGUUAUCGAAUCCUGUUUUAUUAAUAUAUUAAAUCCAACAGGAAUCUAAAUUCAAUAAUUUUGUAUUUUUUAAAAAUUCGCCAAAAUUCAAUAAUUCAUUGAUUACCCCAGACAGUUUCUGCGUAACGCGUCGAUAUAUCAACGCACAAGUAUCAUCCCUCAGGAAAAAUGAGUGCGUAGCGCCGAGUAGACAGUUGGCGAAAGUAAAACGUAUAGGAAGGAAAGUCGAGUGUUCAUUCGAAGAGUGGUUGUUGUAGGGAUGUGUAUAAAGAAGGGUAGUGGGGCUGCUCCCUUUACGCGGAAACUUAAUCAUAACAGCCUGUUAGCUAA